UGAUGAUUCCCACAGGCAGCAAAAGCCU
rnacentral:piRNA from 1 species